GCCUGGGUGGCUCAGUCGGUGGAGCAUCUGACUUCGGCUCAGGUCAUGAUCUCCAGGUUUGUGAGAUCGAGCCCCGCGUCAGGCU
rnacentral:tRNA from 1 species